rnacentral:rRNA from 1 species
GGUCAAGCUACAAAGGGCACAUGGCGAAUGCCUUGGCAUCAAGAGCCGACGAAGGACGCGAUAAGCUGCGAUAAGCUUCGGGUAGCCGCAAAUAGGCUGUGAACCGAAGA